rnacentral:rRNA from 1 species
GACGAACGCUGGCGGCGUGCCUAAUACAUGCAAGUAGAACGCUGAAGGAGGAGGCUUGCUCUUCUGGAUGAGUUGCGAACGGGUGAGUAACGCGUAGGUAACCUGCCUGGUAGCGGGGGAUAACUAUUGGAAACGAUAGCUAAUACCGCAUAACAGUAGAUGUUGCAUGACAUUUGCUUAAAAGGUGCAAUUGCAUCACUACCAGAUGGACCUGCGUUGUAUUAGCUAGAUGGGGGGGUAAGGGGUCUCAUAGGUGACGAGGCUCUGACAAAAUGAUCCU